CUACUGUGGUAAUCACUGCACAGCAUAUAUAAAUCAAACCAUCACGCUGUACACCUUAAACUUGUAUCAAUUACUUCUCAGUUUUACUGGGAGGUGGGGCGAGGGGAGGGGUGGUUUUCCAAUCAGCUAUAGGAAAUUCCUAGGGUGACAGCCUCAAACCACUUCCUCCUACCUGAGGUUGGUGGCAAAAUGGCUUGAACUAGGAUUUGCUUGGGGUGGAGGGAUUGUGUUGUAGUCCCAGCUCUGUCAUGUAUUUGCUGGACCACCCACAGAAGUAACACCUCUCCAAGUCUCCUCUGCAAAUGGAAAUUUGUUCAUCAAUCCAUUCAUUCCAUAGCUGCUUACUGAACACGUGCUAUGUGCCUGGCACUGUUGCAGGGACCAGGUUACCAUAAAGGACAAAAGAGCUGCACUCAGAGGUCAGUUCUAAGGCAGCACUGUCCCACAGAACUUUACAGAACGGUGGAACUGUUCUCUUAUCUUCACGGUCUGCUAUGGCAGCCAUGAGACACACGGAGCUACUGAGCACUGAUAUGUGAGCAGUGCGGCUAAGGGACAGAAUUUAAAAUUUUUACUAAGUAAUUAAAUUUGAAGUUCACGCUGUGGCGCAGUGGGUUAACGAUCCCUCCUGUCUCCGUGGCAUUGCCGGUUGGAUCCUCUACCCGGCGCAGUGGGUUAAAGGAUCCCGCAUUGCUGUAGCUGUGGCAUGGUUGUGGCCCCAGCUUAGACUUGAUCCCUGUCCGGAGAACUUCCAUAUGUCAGGGGUGCGGCCAAAAAGCAAACAAAAAAUUGUAAUUGAACGUUAAGGAGCCACAGGACACUAGAGGAUACUGAACUGGACAGCAUCAUAAAAAGCAGAUAAGGCCCCUCGUCCUAUCUUAUACAGUUUGUGGGUGUCCUCAGAGUGAGGAUAUAUCAUGCCUUUUUCAGUGCAAGCUACGGAAGGAAGGAAACUCCGCUGUGGGGACUUUUGAGACAGGGAGACUGUUGUUAAGGGCACAAGAGACGGAAGAAAACACUCCAAGUGGCGGGGCACGUGGUCUGGGAGCGCCUGCCCCGCAGGCAAGCUGAGGUCUCCCGGUGGAGCACAGCCUGUACUGAAAGAACAAAACGGAACUAAAUCUGUCCCAGAGACACCUGACUGCUUGCCUGCUCCCUUCUCUGCUGCACUUGGCCCCGGGUCCCUCCACCGCUUUCUUCCUGUGGUUCAAUAUCUGGACUUCAACUUCCCUUGAAAACAGGCAGGGCCAACCCACGUGGCUUCAUUCCACACAUACCCACUCUUUUCUCUGCCUCCCUCAGCCCUUUAUUCCAAAUCAAGCUGGUUUUCUCCUUAGCCAAGAUCACGGCGACAGCAGAUCUUCCUCUUUGCUUGCCACAGCGUUCUGAUUCUUGCCGUUUCCUUUCCCCUGGGUUUUCAGGGGCUUCAUGUGCGCUGAGACCACCCUUCAUAAAUAUACCGAACUCCUUACUGACAUCACCCACCCACCCACCUACUAGCCCACCUACAGCGGAGGCUGGAGGGCCAAGAGCCUUCUCCACCAUUUAAUCCUCGCAACUACAGCUGAUUGGACUGGAGGUAUGGUCCUGACGCAAAGUCAGCCAAUCGCGAGGUUUGCUGACAGCCUAUGAGGUGGCUUGACUUGAAUAGGUGAGCUGAGCCAAUCAGAUGCUCUCUUGUAGGACUGGUAAAUAAAUACCCAGAGAAUGCGAGAGUUAGGGGAGGUGAAGUUGAAAAGAAGUUCUGAGAUGGCAUCAGGACUACCAGAGGUCAUGGAAAGCCUGGCUUGUUGGGAAGCAGUCGUGCAGCAAAGAUGCAGGGAAGUGAUGAAAGAGACAAUAGCAGCUGGCCUGAUGACUCUCUAGUUCCAGCUCCCAGCCUUGUGACUGAAGACACCUGAGAAAUCUCUUGGCGUGUCCAGUUUACAAUGUAAAAUAACCAAGUGUGUGAUGGAGCAGGAAAAUGCAACACAUUCUCAAGAGAAA